CUACUAGUUGACUGGAACAGUGGCAGCAAACAGACGACACAAUGUGCAUUGCUCAUUUCAACAGAGGGCAGGCAGGAAAUUCAGAUACACCUUUUACCAGGUUCUGGAUCCCUCCUCCUGGAAAACAUGACGGACAAUCGCAAACACUCCUUCUUAUGCACCUGUUUUGCACAAUCUCAAGGCCUGUUUUGCUCAAAGAACAUAAGCUUUGUGGCUGGCUCUGCCAUUCCAGCACCAGUGAUCCUGAUGUCAAAUAAUCAAAGCUCAAC